GGAGGUUCUAGAAGGCAGGAAGCUCCUGAGCAGAACUCCUCAAGGGGCUGGCUGGGAAAAGAGGAAACCUAGGAAAGGUACUCUGGAGAGAGGCACCUCUGAAAGGAAAGAGCUAGGAUUGCCAAUCCCCUAGGGAGAACUGGCCUCACCAGAAGGACUUUACCAGACUCUGAUACAUGGUUGAGAGUGCAGAGAAACUACAUGCCAUUCUGGAGGAGAGCUGUAGGAUUUUGAUUUCUUCAGAAGCCUGGAGUCUUGAGAAGAAUGCUUCUUCUGGAGGAUGGCCUACCCUUGAGAACUACAAAAGGCUGCAGAGAAGGUAGCAGAAUGCAACAGCAUGACAGAUCAAGAGUUUGUUCCCAUAUCAGUGGAUGAUUCCUGCAUUCAAUGAGUUCCACUGGCUGUCCAUUGUUAGUCCACAGAGAGACCCUGUAGAAUAUUGCUGGAAGCUAUGGGAUACCAGACAAGCUGAUCAACCUGCUAAUGAGUUUAUCUGAUGGACGUUGAUGUGCCAAGUACAAGUCUUGGUGAGUGAUUCACUAUUGAGACUGUGUUACACCAGUUAUUCUUUGCACUAGCAAUAGAGUGGGUGAGGAAAUGGGCAACGAAAGGUCGCAUGGAUAGUGUAAAAUAGGUUAGCAGAGAUGAGUUACACAAUUUUGACUUUGCUGAUUAUAUUGAUUUACACUAAGCAUGAUGUGGAAUGGAAUGAUUGCCUUUACAUCAGAGGAAGAAAGGGACGCUUGAAAAAUUGGAUUUAAAAUAAAUGCAGAGAAAACCAAGAUUAUGAAGGUAGGAAACUGGACAAUAGAUGCAAAGUUAUAAGUGGAUGGAAAAGAAAUUGAACAGGUAAAAAAAUCUGUCGUCUGGGGAGUGUAAUGACAUUUGAUGGUUGCUGCAAUGAAGAAUAUCACCUAGUCAAACAGAGGACUUCACACCAAACUAGAGAUCACAUUAUACCAUGUACUGAGCACGCUACUUUAUAGAGCAGAGACUUGGAUCUUAACAUACAUAUUUUAUUUGGACAUGAGUCUGAACCAAAACCGUGAUCUUCUACACCAAUUCAGAUAGGAGUUUGCAAAUCAAACGUCUCUGUAUAGUGCAUUAAAUUCCAAGCCUCCAAAUUUGUGAAAACUGGGAUUAGAACCUAGAUUUCGACCUCCAAAAUUCAGAUCUGAUUUGAACCAUUACAGAAAUCAAAGUUCAGAUCGAGACUUUGUGUCUGACAUUUUGGCUUCAGCCUCUAUUUUUACUGAUAACCUGGCAUUGAUGGUCCUUUGCAUAUUCAAGGAAAGAAAAGAAACUGUGGUUGGUGAGAUGUGCAUGUAGCUCAUAGAUAGAGAAGUAACCAAAAAUAACAUUGAAUCCCAAAGUGUUCUGCUUAAUUUAUUGGUUUGAAAAGUCAUAUUUCUGAAUAUUUCCUGAUUAGUAACCUUGUAGUGCAUUUUAUAGGAUGACUAAAAUCAAAGCUGAAUCGCUGACUUUAGAUUUACAGACAAAUAACUUACCAAAAAAAAGUGUACAGAAAACUCAUUCCUCUUAUAAAAACAGAGCAGCUAUUCAAUAUUUAACUAUGGAGAUAAACAUACUCCAGUUUUUCCAUGUGGAGGGAGAAAAAGUUGCCUAGCUAAACUAUCAUUCACUGAAUGACUAUGUCUGGGAGCAGAGAUCUGCAUUGUAAAAUUACCUAUUUGAUGCCCAAUAUCAGGUGUAUAUUUACACUUACCAGCAUUAUGUUGUGGAAAGGAAGUAGAUAGUCACAACGUAUGAAGUAUUACAGGACUUUAAUAUUUAUCAUUUUUUUCUUCUUGUAUAAAAUUGUGAAAAUCCUGCUUAUGCCUGUCAAUAACACUUCUGAUGAUGCCAGAGAGGAUAAUUCACUGCCUGUUAAAUAGCUGGCCUGCAGAGAAUUCUCACUGGCAAAUCAGGCUGCAUUAAUUUCUCAAAUGUGUUUUCUAUUUAAGUGCUCAGUGGUGUAUUUUUGUUAAUGUAGUUUCUUUGAAGGAG